CAGUAGCCACGGGAAUACGGAGGGGGCUAGCGUUGUUCGGAAUUACUGGGCGUAAAGCGUGCGUAGGUGGUGGUUUAAGUCCGUUGUGAAAGCCCUGGGCUCAACCUGGGAAUUGCAGUGGAUACUGGGUCACUAGAGUGUGGUAGAGGAUAGUGGAAUUUCCGGUGUAGCAGUGAAAUGCGUAGAGAUCGGAAGGAACAUCUGUGGCGAAGGCGACUAUCUGGGCCAACACUGACACUGAGGCACGAAAGCGUGGGGAGCAAACAGGAUUAGAUACCCGCGUAGUCCCUGUCUCUUAUAC
rnacentral:rRNA from 1 species